GGACGUGGUCUAGUGGUAUGACGGAUCUUUAGCACCCGACGAAAGUCAACCGCGUAGAUCAGGUCCGGGGUUCAAUUCCCCGCGUCUCCA
rnacentral:tRNA from 1 species